AGGAAAUGAAGUAGAAAAAUAUCGGACGCACACGCACCCAAAAGGGUAUCUGAGGGGCGGGGAAUGUCCGUCCCGCCAUUUCCU
ncrna:unclassified sequences skipping-rope RNA